rnacentral:tRNA from 1 species
CUAGGACACCGCCCUUUCACGGCGGUAACAGGGGUUCGACUCCCCUACGGGAUA